rnacentral:rRNA from 1 species
GGGAAUCUUGCGCAAUGGGCGAAAGCCUGACGCAGCCAUGCCGCGUGAAUGAUGAAGGUCUUAGGAUUGUAAAAUUCUUUCACCGGGGACGAUAAUGACGGUACCCGGAGAAGAAGCCCCGGCUAACUUCGUGCCAGCAGCCGCGGUAAUACGAAGGGGGCUAGCGUUUCUCGGAAUUACUGGGCGUAAAGGGCGCGUAGGCGGAUCGUUAAGUCAGAGGUGAAAUCCCGGAGCUCAACUUCGGAACUGCCUUUGAUACUGGCGAUCUUGAGUGUGAGAGAGGUAUGUGGAACUCCGAGUGUAGAGGUGAAAUUCGUAGAUAUUCGGAAGAACACCAGUGGCGAAGGCGACAUACUGGCUCAUUACUGACGCUGAGGCGCGAAAGCGUGGGGAGCAAACAG